GGGAACGUGCCUUCUGGUUCGGAAUAACCCUGGGAAACUAGGGCUAAUACCGGAUACGCCCUUUUGGGGAAAGGUUUACUGCCGGAAGAUCGGCCCGCGUCUGAUUAGCUAGUUGGUGGGGUAACGGCCUACCAAGGCGACGAUCAGUAGCUGGUCUGAGAGGAUGAUCAGCCACACUGGGACUGAGACACGGCCCAGACUCCUACGGGAGGCAGCAGUGGGGAAUAUUGGACAAUGGGCGCAAGCCUGAUCCAGCCAUGCCGCGUGAGUGAUGAAGGCCUUAGGGUUGUAAAGCUCUUUUAUCCGGGACGAUAAUGACGGUACCGGAGGAAUAAGCCCCGGCUAACUUCGUGCCAGCAGCCGCGGUAAUACGAAGGGGGCUAGCGUUGCUCGGAAUCACUGGGCGUAAAGGGCGCGUAGGCGGCGUUUUAAGUCGGGGGUGAAAGCCUGUGGCUCAACCACAGAAUGGCCUUCGAUACUGGGACGCUUGAGUAUGGUAGAGGUUGGUGGAACUGCGAGU
rnacentral:rRNA from 1 species